GCCCGUCAGGUGUAGUGAGCGACACGCCGACCUUGUAAGUCGGUUCCAGGCCGGUGCGAAUCCGGCGGCGGGCUCCA
rnacentral:tRNA from 1 species